rnacentral:rRNA from 1 species
ACGCUCGACACCUACUGGAGGCAGCAGUGGGGAAUAUUGCACAAUGGGGGAAACCCUGAUGCAGCGACGCCGCGUGAAGGAAGAAGUAUCUCGGUAUGUAAACUUCUAUCAGCAGGGAAGAAAAUGACGGUACCUGACUAAGAAGCCCCGGCUAACUACGUGCCAGCAGUCACGGUAAUCUGAGCGGGCUGGCAAGGC